UGGCUCAGACAGUAAAGUGUCUGCCUGUAAUGCAGGAGACCCAGGUUCGAUCCCUGG
rnacentral:tRNA from 1 species